GGUUAAGUGACUAAGCGUACAGGGCGGAUGCCUUGGCAAUCAGAGGCGAAGAAGGACGUGCUAAUCUGCGAAAAGCUUGGAUGAGUCGAUAAGAGGCGUUUAAUCCAAGAUGUCCGAAUGGGGAAACCCGAUGGAUGAAGAAUCCAUCAUUUCAUUGUGAAUACAUAGCAAUGAAAGGCGAACCGGGAGAACUGAAACAUCUAAGUACCCCGAGGAAAAGAAAUCAACCGAGAUUCUGUGAGUAGCGGCGAGCGAAAGCGGAAGAGCCAGUAAGUUUUAGCUAGUGUAUUAGAGGAAUUGGCUGGGAAGCCAAAUCAAAGAGGGUGAUAAUCCCGUACUCGAAAAUACGAUAGUGGAACUAAGCUUACGAUAAGUAGGGCGGGACACGAGAAAUCCUGUUUGAAGAUGGGGGGACCAUCCUCCAAGGCUAAAUACUCCUGAUUGACCGAUAGUGAACCAGUACUGUGAAGGAAAGGCGAAAAGAACCCCGGUGAGGGGAGUGAAAUAGAACCUGAAACCCUGUACGUACAAGCAGUAGGAGCGAGGGCAACCUUGUGACUGCGUACCUUUUGUAUAAUGGGUCAGCGACUUAUAUUUUGUAGCGAGGUUAACUGAAUAAGGGAGCCGAAGGGAAACCGAGUCUUAACUGGGCGUUGAGUUGCAAGGUAUAGACCCGAAACCCGGUGAUCUAGCCAUGGGCAGGUUGAAGGUUGGGUAACACUAACUGGAGGACCGAACCGACUAAUGUUGAAAAAUUAGCGGAUGACUUGUGGCUGGGGGUGAAAGGCCAAUCAAACCGGGAGAUAGCUGGUUCUCCCCGAAAUCUAUUUAGGUAGAGCCUUGAGCGGACACCUUCGGGGGUAGAGCACUGUUUCGGCUAGGGGUCCAUCCCGGAUUACCAACCCGAUGCAAACUGCGAAUACCGAAGAGUGAUACUCAGGAGACACACGGCGGGUGCUAACGUUCGUCGUGGAGAGGGAAACAACCCAGACCGCCAGCUAAGGUCCCAAAGUCUAUAUUAAGUGGGAAACGAAGUGGGAAGGCUUAGACAGCUAGGAUGUUGGCUUAGAAGCAGCCAUCAUUUAAAGAAAGCGUAAUAGCUCACUAGUCGAGUCGGCCUGCGCGGAAGAUGUAACGGGGCUCAAAUAUAGCACCGAAGCUGCGGCAUCAGAAUUUAUUCUGUUGGGUAGGGGAGCGUUGUGUAAGCGGAAGAAGGUGGCUCGAGAGGGUUGCUGGACGUAUCACAAGUGCGAAUGCUGACAUAAGUAACGAUAAAACGAGUGAAAAACUCGUUCGCCGGAAGACCAAGGGUUCCUGUCCAACGUUAAUCGGGGCAGGGUGAGUCGGCCCCUAAGGCGAGGCUGAAAAGCGUAGUCGAUGGGAAACGGGUUAAUAUUCCCGUACUUGGUAAAGCUGCGAUGUGGGGACGGAGAAGGUUAGGUAAGCGGACUGUUGGAAAUGUCCGUUUAAGUUGGUAGUUGGGAGCGGUAGGCAAAUCCGCUGCUCCAUUCAACAACGAGAGAUGAUGACGAGUUCCUAAGGGAAUGAAGUUACCGAUACCCGGCUUCCAGGAAAAGCCACUAAGCGAAAGGCUUUAUUAAACCGUACUGAAAACCGACACAGGUGGUCAGGUAGAGAAUACUCAGGCGCUUGAGAGAACUCGGGUGAAGGAACUAGGCAAAAUAGCACCGUAACUUCGGGAGAAGGUGCGCUUACAGUAAUUGUAGUCCCUCGCGGAUGAAGGUGAAGUAAGUCGAAGAUACCAGCUGGCUGCAACUGUUUUUAUUAAAAACACAGCACUCUGCAAACACGAAAGUGGACGUAUAGGGUGUGAUGCCUGCCCGGUGCUGGAAGGUUAAUUGAUGGUGUUAUCGAAAGAGAAGCUCCUGAUCGAAGCCCCAGUAAACGGCGGCCGUAACUAUAACGGUCCUAAGGUAGCGAAAUUCCUUGUCGGGUAAGUUCCGACCUGCACGAAUGGCAUAAUGAUGGCCAGGCUGUCUCCACCCGAGACUCAGUGAAAUUGAAAUCGCCGUGAAGAUGCGGUGUACCCGCGGCUAGACGGAAAGACCCCGUGAACCUUUACUAUAGCUUGACACUGAACAUUGAAUUUUGAUGUGUAGGAUAGGUGGGAGCCUUUGAAGCAGUGACGCCAGUCAUUGUGGAGGCGACCUUGAAAUACCACCCUUUAACGUUUGAUGUUCUAACGAAGUGCCUGAAACGGGUACUCGGACAGUGUCUGGUGGGUAGUUUGACUGGGGCGGUCUCCUCCCAAAGCGUAACGGAGGAGCACGAAGGUUUGCUAAUGACGGUCGGACAUCGUCAGGUUAGUGCAAUGGUAUAAGCAAGCUUAACUGCGAGACGGACAAGUCGAGCAGGUGCGAAAGCAGGUCAUAGUGAUCCGGUGGUUCUGAAUGGAAGGGCCAUCGCUCAACGGAUAAAAGGUACUCCGGGGAUAACAGGCUGAUACCGCCCAAGAGUUCAUAUCGACGGCGGUGUUUGGCACCUCGAUGUCGGCUCAUCACAUCCUGGGGCUGAAGUAGGUCCCAAGGGUAUGGCUGUUCGCCAUUUAAAGUGGUACGCGAGCUGGGUUUAGAACGUCGUGAGACAGUUCGGUCCCUAUCUGCCGUGGGCGUUGGAUGAUUGAUUGGGGCUGCUCCUAGUACGAGAGGACCGGAGUGGACGCAUCACUGGUGUUCCAGUUGUCUCGCCAGAGGCAUUGCUGGGUAGCUAAAUGCGGAAGAGAUAAGUGCUGAAAGCAUCUAAGCACGAAACUUGCCAAGAGAUGAGUCAUCCCUGACUUUAAGUCAGUAAGGGUUGUUUAAGACUAAGACGUAGAUAGGUUGGGUGUGUAAGUGUAGUGAUACAUUGAGCUAACCAAUACUAAUUGCCCGAGAGGCUUAACCAU
rnacentral:rRNA from 1 species